AACGUACGCUGGCGGCACGCCUAACACAUGCAAGUCGAACGAAGUAGCAAUACUUAGUGGCAGACGGGUGAGUAACAUGUGGGUAUCUGCCCUUUGGCCUGGAAUAACACGAGGAAACUUGUGCUAAUACCGGAUAAGUCUUUACGGAGAAAGCUUUAUGCACCAUUGGAUGAGCCCGCACUUGAUUAGUUUGUUGGUAGGGUAAUGGCCUACCAAGACUGUGAUCAAUAGCUGAUUUGAGAGGAUGAUCAGCCACAUUGGGACUGAGACACGGCCCAAACUCCUACGGGAGGCAGCAGUGGGGAAUCUUGCACAAUGGAGGAAACUCUGAUGCAGCGAUGCCGCGUGAGUGAAGAAGGCCCUUGGGUUGUAAAGCUCUUUCGUCGGGGAAGAAAAUGACUGUACCCGAAUAAGAAGGUCCGGCUAACUUCGUGCCAGCAGCCGCGGUAAUACGAAGGGACCUAGCGUAGUUCGGAAUUACUGGGCUUAAAGAGUUCGUAGGUGGUUGAAAAAGUUAGUGGUGAAAUCCCAGAGCUUAACUCUGGAACUGCCAUUAAAACUUUUCAGCUAGAGUAUGAUAGAGGAAAGCAGAAUUUCUAGUGUAGAGGUGAAAUUCGUAGAUAUUAGAAAGAAUACCAAUUGCGAAGGCAGCUUUCUGGAUCAUUACUGACACUGAGGAACGAAAGCAUGGGUAGCGAAGAGGAUUAGAUACCCUCGUAGUCCAUGCCGUAAACGAUGUGUGUUAGACGUUGGAAAUUUAUUUUCAGUGUCGCAGGGAAACCGAUAAACACACCGCCUGGGGAGUACGACCGCAAGGUUAAAACUCAAAUGAAUUGACGGGGACCCGCACAAGUAGUGGAGCAUGUGGUUUAAUUCGAAGAUACGCGCAGAACCUUACCAACACUUGACAUGUUCGUCGCGACUCUAAGAGAUUAGAGUUUUCGGUUCGGCCGGACGAAACACAGGUGCUGCAUGGCUGUCGUCAGCUCGUGUCGUGAGAUGUUGGGUUAAGUCCCGCAACGAGCGCAACCCUCACUUUUAGUUGCCAUCAUUAAGUUGGGCACUCUGAAAGAACUGCCAGUGAUAAGCUGGAGGAAGGUGGGGAUGACGUCAAGUCCUCAUGGCCCUUACGUGUUGGGCUACACACGUGCUACAAUGGUAUCUACAACAGGAAGCAAGACUGCGAAGUUAAGCAAAUCCCUAAAAGAUACCUCAGUUCGGAUUGCACUCUGCAACUCGAGUGCAUGAAGCUGGAAUUACUAGUAAUCGUGGAUCAGCGUGCCACGGUGAAUGCGUUCCCGGGUCU
rnacentral:rRNA from 1 species